rnacentral:rRNA from 1 species
UGUGUAGGUGGCGCCGUAAGUCGGGUGUGAAAUUUCGGAGCUUAACUCCGAAACUGCAUUCGAUACUGCGGUGCUUGAGGACUGGAGAGGAGACUGGAAUUUACGGUGUAGCAGUGAAAUGCGUAGAUACCGUAAGGAAGACCAGUGGCGAAGGCGGGUCUCUGGACAGUUCCUGACACUGAGACACGAAGGCCAGGGGAGCAAACG